rnacentral:tRNA from 1 species
UGGUGCAGAUGGUUAACAUUCUCAGCUGCUAACUGAAAAGUUGAUGGUUCAAAUCCAUC